rnacentral:tRNA from 1 species
GCGCCGGUGGCUCAGCUUGGAUAGAGCAGCGGCUUCCUAAGCCGCUUGUCGUGGGUUCGAAUCCCACCCGGCGCG